UGGUGGAGCGAUUUGUCUGGUUUAUUCCGAUAACGAACGAGACUCCAACCUACUAACUAGUGGGCGGAUUUCUAGUCCGUGUCACUUCUUAGAGGGACAAGCGGUGUUCAACCGCAUGAGAAGGAGCAAUAACA
rnacentral:rRNA from 1 species